AGCGGGGUUUUGUUCCAAAAUCAAAACACAGCUGAAUUAGCUUUUUGAAACUGAACUGAUCUAAGGCUACGAUCACGCUAAUUUAAGGAAAGUAUUGAAAGCUGAAUACAUGUUCAAAACACAGAGUCAAUUCUCAGAACUCGCAAUAAUCAGUUCCUUACCUAUUUCUUUAGCUCUGUGCGGGAGGACAGCCUCACCUUGAACUUUCCGCUCCAGCCACUCUCAUUUUUCCCAUUCCCCACCCGACCCCACCACUCAGAGGGCCUUUGCUGGUGCUCUUCCCCUCCCCAGGACACUCUCCUCUCUCCUGCUCUGCUGAUUUGCACUCAUCUUUCACAUAUUCCUGGACCAAACCGAAAUGCCGAGGAAGUCGUGAUCACCAGCCUUGCCAUGCGGAGCACACUUAAUACACGUGGGAAAUGAUCUCUCUGCAGAGGGAUAAAGAUCUUUUAAAGACCUUUCGUGGAGAUCUUGGGAAAGCUAGCGACGGGGCUGCAGAUCCAAAGCACAGACUUUUUCUGAUGCGCGCCAGUGUGAAGGGGUUGUCUAGGGACCCGAGGGGGCGGGGGUGGGGGGUGGGGAGCGUUUGGGACCCGGUGAGCUAGGAGAGUGAGGCAGGGUCGUAGGAUGGCCGCUGGCCUCGUUCCCUCCCAGGCUUGCCUUGUUUCAGGCUCAGUCAGAGCGAGCUUCGCUUUCUCCAUGGAGUGCCCACGCGCCAACCCCGGCCCACCGCUUUACCUGCGCUCCAGCGACACUCACCAUCCGCCCGCACCGAGAGGCGCUGCAGGCCAAGCAGAAGCAGCGCCGCCGCCCAGAACCAGGCGCCGGAGCUGGGUCUUUCAGCAGCCAUGGGCGGGGCGUCCACNNNNNNNNNNNNNNNNNNNNNNNNNNNNNNNNNNNNNNNNNNNNNNNNNNNNNNNNNNNNNNNNNNNNNNNNNNNNNNNNNNNGGUGGAGAGACGCGGGAGCCGCGGCACUGGGGCCGCGAACUCCCGGGGGGGUACUGUCCGCGGCGCCGGGGAGGCGGCUGUGGCCCGGCUCCGCCUUCGUGCCGGGCACCUGGAGGCCUUGGUGCCAAAAGAGGCUGCCCCGGACGGUGAGCUCCCUGGGCUCAGCCAGGACGGAGGGGAAGGGCGUGGGGAGGCGGAGAGAGUGGCGAAUCGGCUGCAGGGAACCCCUGCCUGCUUGGGGACCCUCUGCGAAAGGGUGACGCAGUCUGAGAGGCCAGGCCCCUCUGGGAGGAUCGCGAAAAACCGCAUGCCUAACCCUGUCCUCUGCUUCUUGACUUUCCAGCUGGAGUCCUCCUGUAGAGGAAGAACAUUUAGUACGAAAAAGAAAAAUCUAACUUGCCAGCCUAACUCUGAGGAGUGAAACACAGGGAAUACCGAGACUCCUCUUCCCUAAAAGUAUAGUGCGAAAGCCUCUCAGAAAGGGGUAUCUUCUGGACGCUUCCUUCAGGACUGUGCCAGAUAGGCCUUAACGUUUCUCGAAGAACAGCAGGGCCGCUGGUGGGGUUGUUGCUGGUAUCACACCUCGCAAAGCAGGGCUCUUUAAUCUGAAGAGGGACAGAGAGGUUCGGAUUUUUCCCAUCUGGGCUGGGAAUCUACAUUCUAUGUAAGUGUCCCAGUGGCUUCUGCUGCAGGAGUGCCUGCCCUAAAUUGAUUCCUUCUUUCAGCUCAACCCCUAUCCUGUCCCCCAGCAUCAGCAUGGUCAGGUGAAGGCAGGAGGAUGUGCACCUACUAGGAGUAAUAAAGAUCAGCAUUGUUUAAGUGCCCACACCCAGGGCACUUUACAGUUUACAAACCUCUUCCAUCUUCAUGUACUGGUCAACAGGUAUUUAUUGUGUGCCUACAGCCUGCCUGCCCUUGUGCCAGACUCUGAAUGGGCACACACUUAUCUAAGACAGACAUUUAAGGAAGAUGGAACAAAGUGAUUGGUCCUAAAAGGAACAGAUGAUUGUCCCCAUGACAAUGAGCUAGGACAGAAACAUUGAAAGACCAUCUCCUUUCUUUUUAAGGUGAGAACUGGGCUUUGGACCCAUGUCUAAUUUUACUACAGGUGUCACUUCAGCUCACAUAGUUUUUGUUUUGCUUUUUUCUUUUUAGGACCGCACCCAAGUCAUUAUGGAAGUUCCCAGGCUAGGGGUGGAACCGGAGCUACAGCUGCUGGCCUACACCGAAGCCAUAGCAAUGCGGGAUCCCAGCCGCAUCUUCGACCUACACCACAGUGCCCCAUUCUUAACCCACUGAACAAGGCCAGGGAUCAAACCCGCAUCCUCAUGGAUCCUAAUCAGGUUCAUUACCGUGGAGCCAUGACAGGAAAUCCCUCAGCUCAUAUAAUUUUCAAAGUGUCUGGAAAAGCUAUUUCUUCUCAUUAUUCCUCCCCAAAUAUCAACUGCAAGGUUAUUAUUAGUGAUUAAUUCCUUUGUGAAAUAAAACUUUGCUUCUAAAAUAUAAAUACUCUAGGGUGCUGUGUGGUGAGGCCUGACAAUCAUUCACAUGGAAGUGUAAAUGAAUUGACUUAGCUACUCCUCUUCUGACAGCUAGCUGGUAACCUGAGGGCUGAGAAUUCACAAGUCUGGGCUGGAGGGGACCUUUUAAAGCCUGAUUGUUGCUGAGAAAGGAGGGGAGGGGCAGAAGGCACCUGCAGGAACCAUUCCUUGAUUCCCUCAGGAACUGUGCCUACUGUCGAUUGGAUUUUACACUUAAUCUUCAUGACAUUUUAAAGUUUGUCUUUAUUCAGAUCUGUCUUGGUCUGUCCUAAUCUGAGAAGACAGCAUGCUCUAAAUGUUUAAUUGGUACAACUGCUUUAGAAAACUGCCUAUUUCAUAUAAAGUUAAACAUAUACCCCUCUGAAUACACAGAAUCCACUCCUGGCUCUGUAGCUGAAGGAAAUGAAAAUAUAUAUCCACACAAAGAUUUAUUCACAAAUUUCAGAGCAGCUUUAUUCACAAUCAUUAGAAGCUAGAAGCCACCCAGCUGUCAUCAUCAGAUGAACAGAAAAACAAAUUGUCAGUUUAUGCAACAGAAUACUCUUUAGCAAUAAGAGGAAUGAAUUACCAAUACACUCAAUAAGCAGUCCUCCAAGACACUCCCCUCAUUAUUAGGGGCACCCUCCCCAUUGAGUGCCUCCCAUGCACAUUCCAGACUGCUCAUUCCAAGAGGUCCAUUCCAACAUCUUAUUAUCAGUCUUGCAGUCUUGAACUUUGUCAAAUGUCUGACAAGCUGUUUUAGGAUUAUCCAUAAAUCGUGCAGAUCCAUGACUAAGGCCACCUCACCCUUCAUGUAAACCAAAGUUCCACACAUUGGGAGAACUUUCUUUUGCUACAGUUUUUUCCUUGUGGUAAAAUAUACAUAGCAUAAAACUUAACCACUUCAAUCAUUUUUAAGAGUACAAGUGUGUGGUGUUAAGUACAGUCACGUUGUUGUGCAACCAUUACUACUAUCCAUCUCCAGAAAAUUUUCUUCAUCUUCAACUGAAACUUUGAACAGUAAAUCCCAUUUCUCCAGCCUUCUAGUUCCUGGUAACUGCUGUUCUACCUUCUGUCUCUGAAUUCGACUAUUCCAGGUACGUCAUAUAACUGGAAUCAAAAUGUUUGUCCUUUUGUGUCACUACUGUUUUUCAGCUCUGUACCGGAGUAGGGAUGGCUAGUGCCACAUCGCGGACACUGAAGUGUAGAACAGGCCCAAGAUUUUCCUUCUGUUAGGUGAAACUCCCCAUGAGUCCAUAGAUGUGGGUUGGGGUGGACAUAACAAAGCAGUAGAAGCCAGUGCCAAGGGAAUCUGAGCCACCUGCUCAUGUAAUAUACUAGUUUCUUCCAGCCCUACUCUUGUAUAUACACCAUUUCCAUUUAACAGUGGAAUUCUCCAGUAUAAUUAAAAAUGCCACAUUCAUGAGACCAGCUAAGGUCUCAUACUCACUUGAUCAAGCAGUCAAUCUCCACCAGUGCCCUGUAGCCAGGUAGGAACUGCUUAACAAAUGGAGAAUAGUUGACCCCUAAAACUCUAGGGGUCUGUAUCACCAUUCUACUCUUUGGUUUUCCCAAGCUUCAUAAGACAUCUUUACUUACUUUUAAAGAAUUGUGUCUUUUAUGGCAAGGGGCCAUAGUGGCAGGGCAGUGUGCUCUGCAGUCUGGACACUGCAGAAUUCCCCAUUGCUGUGGACUGCUUUCAAAACAGUAAGCCUUAUGGGUUUACACAUAGUAAAUCAUCCCUAAACCAUUGUAUCUUCUUUUUUCCUAAGUUUAUUUUAUUGAGGUAUAGUUGACUUACAAUGUUGUGUUAAUUUAUAUAUUCUUUUUCAUAUUUUCCAAUAUGGAUUAUCACAAGAUAUUGCAUAUAGUUCCCUAAACUAUACAAUAGGAUCUUGUUAUUUAUUCACUCUUUAUAUAAUUGUUUGCAUCUGCUAACCCCAAACCUCCAAUCCUUCCUUCCCCCAUCUCCCUCCCACUUGGCAACCACAGUCUCUUUUCUGUCUGUGAGUCAUAAAUUCAUUGGGUCAUACUUAAGAUUCCACAUAUAGGUGAUAUCAUAUGAUAUUUACCUUUCUCUUUCUGACUUACCUCACCUAGUACGAUAAUCUCUAAGUCUGUCCAUGUUGUUGCAAAUGGCAUUAUUUCAUUCUUUGUAUGGCUGAGUAGUAUUCCAUUGUAUAUGUAUCCUCUUUAUCAGUUCAUCUAUUGAUGGACAUUUAGGUUGCUUCCAUGUCUUGGCUAUUGUAAAUAGUGCUGCUAGGAUCAUGGGGCGGGGGGGCGCAUGUAUCUCUUUGAGUUAGAGUUUUGUCUGAAUAUAUGCCCAGGAGUGGGAUUGCUCGAUCAUAUGGUAGCUCUAUAUUUAAAUUUUUGAGGAACCUCUAAUACUGUUUUCUAUAAUAGCUGCACCUAUUUAAAAUCCCACCAACAGUGUAGGAGGGUUCCCUUUUAUCCACACCCUCUCCAGCAUUUGUUGUUUGUUGGUUUAAUGAUGGCCAUUCUGACCUGUGUGAGGUGGUACCUCAUUGUAGUUUUGAUCUGCAUUUCUCUAAUAAUUAGUGGUGUUAAGCAUUUUUUAAUGUGCCUGUUUGCCACCUGUAUGUCUUCUUUGGAGAAAUGUUUGUUUAGGUUUUCUGCCCAUUUUUUAAUUGAAUUGUAUGGAUUUUUUGUUGUUGCUGAGGUUUUUAUUUUAUUCUGUUUUUUAUUUUUCUACUAUACAGCAAAGUGACCUUGUCACACAUACAUGUAUACAUUCUUUUUCUCACAUUAUCCUCCAUCAUGCUCCAUCACGUUGUUGAGUUUUAUGAGUUGUGUGUAUAUUGUGGAAAUUAAGCCCUUGUUGCAUCAUUUGCAAAUAUUUUCUCUGAGUCCAUAGGUUGUCUUUUCAUUUUGUGUAUAGUUUUCAUUGCUGUACAGUUAUUGUAACUUCUUGUUCAUGGCGGUAGUACAUGGCUAUCAAUUUCUCUCUAGAUACAGCCCUGAGAUAAAACAGUAAAAAUAUGCUACUCUUCUUGCUGGGUGAAGGAAUUAAAAUAAACUAUUUACUGGUUAAUAACAUAACAGGUGCCAAAGCUGGUAUUUAUUUAUUCUGGUAAUGACAAUAUAUCCGGAAGAGCACAUGCAGUUGACAUCAGCACUUGAUUAAUUUGAAUAUAAGCUACUAAUAAUUUCUGAUAAUUCCAUGAUAUUUUCCAUAAUAUUCUCUGGUUUUUGCUCUGGGAAACAGGAAAGAAACUUUGAAUGACCAAACAUCCUGGUUUAUACCUCUUAUUUACACUUGUCCCAGGGUCCCAUCCAAUUUCAUAUUUGACAUAUUUUUCAUUUCUGGAUAAAUAUUAUUAGCACUAGAAAUACCAUAAGCCGGAAUGGUAAUCCUUAAUUUUAUACUCCUAGCUUCUGCAUGUUUUCAUCAAGUAGUGGGUGAGUUUAUGUGAAGUUCUCACUUGAAAAUGUGAUUAAACAUGAACAAAACCCUGUGACCCAUUUCAUUUUCCCUGAUUGUUUUCUGAUGCUAUGUAACCAAUUUCUCCCUUUCAAGGACAGUGUGCAGAGUCAUCAAGGAUAUAAAUCAAGUGUGCGUGGAUGCAAGGAGUUAGGAACAGCUCACUCCUUAUGAUCUCUGGUCAUGGCGGGAAAGCUGUUCAAAGACCCACCAGCCACUCAGUUUACUAAGCAGUUUUUUAGUGGCCUGUAAGAUGCAUGAGGUCACCAGUAAGCCGGUCAGGGGAAAAUGUGGGACAUUAUAGAUGAAGUUUAUGUGAAAUAUGUGCAGAAAAUGGAGACUGAAGAAUCCUGUUUGGGAGCACUUAGUAUGUAGUUUGAAUGCUUUUGCUACAUGUUAUAUCCAGGUGUGAGUAAGAAACCAUAAGUAACCUCUCGAGCAGCUUGUGACUGUACAGCUUAGGUCACUGUUUUGUGAUUAUAUUUAUGGGUUCUUCCCUUUCUCUGGAGAAUAUGUUUCCAGAAGGUAAGAACAGGCUCUUACCAUCUCUGUAUCUUAGUGUCUACCAAAGCCCCUGUCUCAGUACCUGGCACAUAAGUACUCAAUGAAUGUCUGAUAAAUGAAUGAGUGAAUACUUACCAUGGUAUUGUGGGUAUUGUUUCCCUCAGCCCAUCUGCUUAAAAACGUACUCAUCUUUCUUGACUCAAUACUAGCAUCAUC
rnacentral:lncRNA from 1 species